UACGAAGGGGGCUAGCGUUGUUCGGAAUUACUGGGCGUAAAGCGCACGUAGGCGGAUAUUUAAGUCAGGGGUGAAAUCCCGGGGCUCAACCCCGGAACUGCCUUUGAUACUGGGUAUCUCGAGUCCGAGAGAGGUGAGUGGAAUUCCGAGUGUAGAGGUGAAAUUCGUAGAUAUUCGGAGGAACACCAGUGGCGAAGGCGGCUCACUGGCUCGGUACUGACGCUGAGGUGCGAAAGCGUGGGGAGCAAAC
rnacentral:rRNA from 1 species